rnacentral:tRNA from 2 species
GCCUGGGUAGCUCAGGGGUAGAGCAGUGGAUUGAAAAUCCUCGUGUCGGUGGUUCGAUUCCGCCCCUAGGCACCA